CUGGAGAAGGAAAUGGCAAUCCACUCCAGUACUAUUGCCUGGAAAAUCCCAUGGACAGAGGAGCCUGGUAAAGUCACUGUUGUACAAUGGAAAAGCAAGUGGGCAAUGAUGUGUUUUGAGAUAAUCAGUGGAAAUAGUGAAAGAAGGAAAAUGAAGUCUUCAUGAAGUAGAUAGGAUUUUCUAAAUUGUUUGGAGGAUUAGAAAGCUGGGGGACAGUGUGUGUGUGUGAAACUGUGGAGUUAGAAAGCUGGGGGAUAGGCAAGGACAGGAAAGAACAGAUUCAGAUUGUGUGUGUGUGAGAGAGAGAGAGAGAAGAAAACUGUUAGAAAGCUGGGGGAUAGGCUAAGAAAGGAAAGAACAGACUCAGAUGUAAAGACGAUGUGUGACAGGUUGGAGAGUGGGACUUUCAUUUGCUCAAUGUUAACUUUAGUAAACUCCCUCCAUUCAAAAAUAUAGAAAAUGUCAAUACAUUUAUAAUGUAAAGGUGUAAAUAAAUGUGCCAGGCCCUUAGGGAAAAAGAUGACUAAGACAUGACCUCUCUCCCCACAGCUGACUGUCUAGGAGCUGAAUAAGAAUGUGCGAGAGGUCUACCUCUGUACACCCGGUGGCAUUCCAAUUCAAUGCCAUAGAUUCUUUAAUGUAAGCUUUAACAGAGUGCUCUGUGGGAGUUCAGGAUUAAUGGGAAAAUUACAACAAAUUUGAAAGGAUGUACAGUUUAAUCGGAUUCUCAAAAGAUGCAAAAGAGCUUCGGCAAGCAGAGGAAGGUACACAAGCCAAAGGAAAGAGGCCAGAAAGGCAUGGUGUAAAUGGAAACAGUAAGAGAGAUGCUAGUACAUAGGUGCAGAGAAGAGAAUCUAUUAGGAACAAAUCUGAAAUACUUAAUAUUUUCAAGGAAGGAGUAUAGAUAUUUUCCAGCAGCCUCUAGUGAGCUUAAGCAGUCAAGAGAUUAAAAUGUUAGAGAUAACUGAAGCCACUGCUAGGAAUCCUAUGAAGAAUAGGCCUGAAUUCAGAAAGCAAGUGAAUUUACUCAAGUAUACUGAAAAUAGAUGGUGGGAGUGGAUUGCCCCACACAGGAAAGGGUGUACCUAUCAAUCACAGAAUCUCUUUCAGUACAGUAGGGGGUUCACUGAUGAAUGAUCUUGGUUAAACCUAGGUAGGGUUUUCUGCAGGAGGAAGGUAGAAGAAGAUAGAAAUUAACACAAAUUUAGAAUGGGUCAGUUGAGUGAUUUUUUUUUAAAAAGAGAAGAUGGGACUAUGGUAUGGGCAAAGGUCAAAUAAAAAUGGAGAGGCAGGGCAGAUGCUGAGUCACAGAAGAUUAUGGGGUAUGGUGAACCCCAUGCUGGUUCAUCGAGGGUACUGGAAAAUGAGGAAGAGCAGUAAAGAGAGAUGGGAACAAUGGGAGAUCAGAGACUGGGCUACCUGGUUAAAUUUUAUUAUUAAGUAAAGACACAAGACACUAUGUAUAAGCGAGUGAUAAGGAAAUAUGGAUUAAGAAAGUAAAUGGGAAUGGUAUUAAUACAGAUAAUAUUCCUGAAACUUUUGUGGCAAAUUUUCAAUUAAAUGGUUUGGUUGAUACAGUGAAAAGUUACAUGGACUCUAAGGUGAACUCAGUAAAACCCAGUGGUAGCAAUUGCUGCUUCUUGUGAGAAAGGAUGACUACUAACACGAGCGAUGAGGAGAGUUGGUGAGAGAGCCUUUCCAUGGCAGGAGGACAAGACUGAGCAUAUUGCCAUAACAAAGAUAAGCACUUCAUGACCACACAAGGCAGAUAACAAGGGCACAGGGGAGGAAUGCCCUGAAGAUCUGCAUUAAAACUGUUCCCAGAAAGGAGGCUUGUUUUGUGAGGACUGAAUGAAACUGAGAGAUAACUGUUGAGCAAACCUGUAUGGAAAAUACCCAAAAACAUAGAAUUAAAGAAAAGCUGGAUGCUGGAAGACAAGAAAGGCAAGAGCUGUGUGAUUUAGGCUGGGGUGCAGGACACGCACUGUGACAAAUGGCAGGUUGGGAGAUUUGGUAGGGGGCUGCCAGGUCUCAGCCACUGGAGGGAAGGAAGACUGUGACUAAGUAAGUGGGAUUAUGAGGCGAUUCCAGAAAGCUUUGUUGGAAUGAUAGUUACAGAGAUGGAUGUGGUCAGUGGGGCAGAAGAUAAAAGGAUAGGGGGGAUGGGCCAGAAACACAGGCUACCCGCAGCAUUCCCCACAGGUCUGGACUGAACUGAGAAGAAAGGGGUGUAUAGAGAGUGAGGGGAGUCAAGGCAAAUGAAAGAAAGCGAGUGGGGCAGUGAGUGCCAAAAAUGAGGAGUAUGUGCCCUCCAGGGAAACGCUACACACAUGGCAGGAGGGGUGCUGAAGAUAAGGCUUUUCUCUAGGACAAACAUGGGGGGCAAGGAAGAGAGGGACAGAACUGAAAGAUUAGAGUGCUCCCAGGCAGAGAGGAGCCGCUGAGGAAUGACAGAGGGCAGCAUGAAGGACAAGUCAGCAUUCCUGGGCCAGAAGUCAGGACGGAAUACGGAAGGAGAGAGAGACGGAGGCAAAGAAAGGGAAAUACUGCCGAGUGGAGAGCAGAGAAGGCAGCAGGUGUGGGACAGACUUUGCCUCGAGAACCCUGCCAGAGCUCAGCAGGGUCUAAGGGGACAUGUUUUGAAUGUAAAGACUGUAUGGGGAUGAGAAAUACACAAAGUGUGAGGCCAAAGACUGGAGUGGGAGGGAGGAGCAGAUCAGCUCUUGAAGCACCAAUUUGGAGGGAAACUGUCAAAGGACUUGGGUGACAGGAAAGUAUAUAAGGAAGCCAGUUACAAUGAAUGCAGAUAAAAACCCAUUGCUGGCAUCUUUAGAGAUUAGGUUUGACUUAUUAGAGGACAUGAAUAGGUAGUUUGGCCAGAGGACAGAUUAUUGUAGUAGAUGGGGAGAUGAGUGACAAUCCUGAAGAAAAUAUACCUGAAGAGAAGUAUUUUGCAUCCAUUUCAUCUGUAGACAGACGGUAAAUGAAAGGGUGAUGGAGAGCAGAGAUAUGGUAGAUUACUGCAGGAUACCAUUAAAAUUGGUUAUUCUUAGAAGUUACCCUAUUAUGGCUAAAAGUGAUAGACAUUUCCUAGGGAGAUUUGUGUGGAAAAAAUUCUGGAGGAAGAGAGAGGUGAGAAGAUGGAGGCUAGAAGCAUAAAACAGAAGUUAGAGGGUUUAAGUUGGGGUGCUGAAUAUAAGGGGUGUGAGAGUAGGGAAGGGCAGUAAGGAGGGCCAGAAGGAGGAACACUGGAAAAGGGCAGAGAGCGUAUUAAGUAGAGAGAUGGGAGCUAAGCUAGAUCACAACCAAAGAGGAGAGAGCAUGUGAAGAGGAAGUGGCAAACGAGAGCUGGUGUCAAUGAGCGAGUGCCUAACAGAAUCUGGGAACGUUUGCUCCAGUGCUGUCUAAAGCAACAAAUAUGACCAACAGAGUGAUAAACCAAGAGUCUAAAGGUGAUGGAUCUGAGCCUUGGCCAGUGGCAGAAUCCUGUGAAGGUCUGUACUGAACUGAAGAGUGCAAAUGUACUCAUAAUAGUGUGCAGGAAACAAGGAAGAUGAAAGAAAACCACUCACUACUCAACCCAUGGGGAAUGCUACAAAGGUAGCUGCUGAAAAAACAAGUGAUGGAGGUAACAGUGUUUCUCUAGGGUCAAUCAAAGAAAAGAGCAGAAGAGCCUGCAGAAGAGAUGGGGUCGUGUGAAGACUGGCGCGUACUGCAGGAGGGAGUUGCCACAGUACUUGUACCAGAGAUCAUGAUUAAACCAGAAAGAAGAGAGAUGGGAAACUACACAAGGGAAGAACUGCGUGUGGAGUAAUUGAGAACAGGUGGAGCGGCAUGGGUAGAUAAGACGAGGACAGUUUCCCAGAAUGGGAACUCCUGUAAGACCUUAGAACAGGUCUAAUUGGUCAAAUGAUGGUUCUUAACGCCAAACUCUGAAAAGCAGUAUAUACAAUGGGAGAAGAACAGGGCCUAAAAGUAAUGGGAUGCUUUAGUUAGGAGGAUUAAAAACAGGCUAGCAACCUUAACGACACCAAUAUAAAUCUCUGAGCACUUGGUUCUGUAGCAUGGAUCAUGAGGUAAGUGGCCAGGGAUAUGUUGUAAACCCAACUGAAAAGUAAAACUUCAUUUGUUAUUUUCAUAUACAGAUGGUAGAGGAAAUUAUGCCAUAUGUAAUUAAGAUGUGGGAAGGCAAAAACCAAAGGGAGAUACAAACAGAUAUCAUGCAGAUACCAUGUUAAAGGUAUCCUUAGAAUUUAUUCUGCCAUGUGAAGGUUCUCUGAAAGUGAAGAGACAGCUACAGGGGAGAGAACCUGCUAGGGAGUGCUGUUUCCAAGAAGACUGGAUCCACUUGAGUGAAAUAGAAUGGUAGCUAAAACAAGAAGAGAAGCUAAAGAUAAGGUAGCAUAGUUCUUCAGGACAAGACAGGUAACAAGAAAAUGAAUUGGAGAGUGACGUUACAGAUGCCCCCAGAUUAAAAGAAUGCCAUUUGAAGAAUGACAGGUAUUGACUGGAGAGAGAAGGUCCAGUAUGUGGGCCAAAAGACAGAGAAGAGGGCUCGGGGCGGGGGGAGUUAAAGCCAAGAGGAGUGCUGCACAGACAAGAGGGUGACUGCGUGGAGUGCAACAAGCAAACCACAGGACCCGCAGGAUUCCCAGAGUGGGCAAGCCUACAGGUGUGAGGACGGGCCUCGGUGCUCAGUGUGCUGGAUGUCAGCCAGACUGCAAUGACUAGUCUGUACAAUGGGAGAGAAACAGAAGCUUGAAAAGGAGUGACAGUCAGGAGCAGACUUGCUCCUGAUGUCUUCAUUGGAAAUUUUAAAUUAAAGGGCUUGGUUUUUGUUAGAAAAUUCUUCAGCCCCACCAGACCCACUGAAUCAGCAAUUUCGGGUGGGACUCAGCCAUUUGUAUUUUAACAAACUGCAGUUUGAGGGCCACUGCUUUAGAUAAAGGCAGAUAAGGAGUAAUUCUGAUUAAAAAAUCUUUGCUAGCAAGCAGUCACACUAGGAUCAGUUGAAAAUAAGAGAAGCAACUGAGGAGACUUGUAAGAAAAGACAGUAGAUAAGGGGAGAACAGUGGCUGUAAAAAGGGAACGGGCUGUGUGAUUUAAGACUUGGGUGGGAGGCUUGCAGGAAGCAGCAUGGCCGACGAGUAGGGGCAUUGAAAGAGUGCUAGAGUGAGAAAUCCUGGGACCUGGGAGAGGAGGCACCUGAAUAGAAUGACUUUUGCUAAUUUAGAUCACAACCACUGAGAGAGAGGAAGCAGGGAAUGUGGCUACAGGAGAACUGAGGUGAGGCGGGGGGAGCUGUUCAGGACGCUUUGUAGAAGACAGGCUACAGGGGCUGGAACUACAUAAUCCAGUCUAGGGUCUGAACAGAGACUGCUGAAUGAGCUAUGUUCCUUUAUCUAGAUAUGGGAAUAUGUACGUACCCAGUCUCUGAAUGAAAGAGGGGUGCUGAAUAUAAGGCACAAUUUUUAAUAAGGCAAAAAGGAGUAUAAUAGUAAAGUUAAAAUUGCUGCCAGAUGAGACAGUAUCACUUAAUAUUGAUGAAGAAACCGUCACUGACACCACAUGGAGGCAUAUGGCACCACACCUGGGCCAGAGACCAUGAUGAAAAGGAAGACGACAGCUUAGCAGCUAUCUAGGGGAAAGGCUUGUCUAAAGAGUAGAAAAUUGGUUUUGAGUGAGGGAGGAAGUGGGGGUGAGGAGAGGAGGAACCCUCAAAAAGAAUAUGCAUUCAUUGCUAUGAAAGUAAGAUAUAUGGGGGAAUUCUCCAAAGGGAAACUGACUAUAUGAGGGAUGUUAAAGAUAUACUCAGAAGUUAAAGAAAUAUAUUAGAAUUUACAGAAGGUAAGAGAAGCACCUGGGGAGACUUGUAUGAAAAAUAGCAAAGAAGGAAAGAGCAAAAGAGGUUAGAAGCUAAAUAAGGAGAAAGUCUGUGUGAAUUAGGGUGAAGAAUAUGCAGUGUUGAGGAAUAAACAUGGAAGGGCAUGAAGAGCGCUAAAUGGGAACAUUAGCGAAUGGGAACUGGAGAUGUGUCAGAGUUGCGUAUGAAUAAGGAGAGAAAGUGAGGUUAAAAGGUAGCCAAACAAGAGCUGGAGUAUGAAGUUUUGCGGUCCAGGAUGCUUUUUGGAAAAAUACUAGAAGUAACGGGUGUGGUCAAUAAGAGUGAAAGGUCAGAAACAAGCCAAGUGGGAUGGACACAGAAGGUAGGCCAGUGACAGGAACCCUAUGGAAGUUUCUGCUGAACCGAUAGUACAGACAAAUGCUGUGGGUAAGACUGUGGGACACUUAGGGAAGAUGGCAGGGGCUGAGCAGCGAGUGUCCAACACGAGGGGAUAUCUGUCCCGAAGCAACAACUGGCUCUGUAAGCAUGCUGUAAAUGCAGGUGGGAGCCAAAAGGAGGGACACAGAAGACCAGGAAGCAUGCUUCUCUAGGGCAAUGCAGGAACAGAGGGGAAGGAAUGAGAGAGCAGUGAAGCUUCCUGCAGAUGUGGAGGGGUGAUUUAGGAAUGGUGUUUAUUGACUGGUGGGUCAUGGCACAGUAUUUGGACUAAGUUUAUGAUGGACUAAGAAGGAAAAGAGAGUUUGCGAAGUGAAUAAAGGACUAUUGUAUGAACUAGAGAAGACUUAAGAAUAAUGGAGGGGCAGCAAUACAGAUCAGGGAUGUAAUAAUGAGAUGCAGAAUAGAGAUCUUGAUAUAAGUCUGAAUGUUCACACUGGAUGGGAAGGCCCAAUGGUAAUGAGUGGUGUAUCUGUUAAGAGAGUUUCAAGGACCUAGAUAAAAAUGGGAAUUAGAGAGUAGACUAGAAUGCUGUGAGUAAAUUACUCACUGUAAAUUAGAAUGCUGUGAGUAAAAUUUUUUAAUUAAAAUCUUGUUUAAUAGGAGAGUUUAUAGGAGUUUUAAGAUGAAUUCUCAUAAAAAGACAUUGUUAGUAACCUUAAAACACACCAGGAUUGACCAAUUAGGGCGCAUGGGUGAGUGGUUCUUCUGUAGAGAAGACGAUUUUUAUUUCUUGAGGAAUAGUUGGGAAUCAUUAGGGAGGUAAACAUCAGCAGAAAAAUACUGUGCCCUUUGCUGUGCUAUAGGACAGUAGCUGAAAUGGUUAAAGAUAUGGUAGAACAUAAAAGAAUAGGAAAGAAGAGGAUUACUUUUAAUCUUAAGUAAUGGGAGUAUUGAUUAGAAUGGAGUUCUCAGUAGAGUAGCAAAAAGGCAAAUGAGAUAUGAACUGAAGAGACCUGGAAUGGAGAAGUCCGUCACAUCUCAGAAGGGGUCUGAUUGGUUAAAAAUGUUUGCUGUUAAAGAGGACAGGGAGUGGGGUGCAUAAUGAGAGAGAAGUAAAGGCCUGCACACGAAUGGGUAGGAGUUAGAAAGCAGACUAGCACUUACAGUCUUGAUGGAAAAAAAAGUGGGGCAAUUUAUAUAUAAAACCCUCAAAGAGAGCAUUACGUAUUAUUUAUGGGUAUAUAAAUAUUUAUGAAAAGUAUAACAGUUUAUCAAAUUAUUUAGUGAUUUUUCUCUUGGGGAAGAGGUUAGGUGGUACAUAAGCCUCAAUUAUAUGUGCAUUGUUCUGUUCCUUUAAAAAAUAUCAAUCAAAUAUAGUAUAAAGUCAAGAUAUAAAGAAGUGAGGUAGUAGGUGUAUGAAUUUGGGGGGAAUAAAACAUUUUAAAGAGCUGGGUUGAUAAGAAUGGUUAGAAGGCAAAAUUAGGAUGAUAAGUCAUCGGUAGCAACCUGAAAGACUCUGGUCUGGCUAGGAAGUGCAGGUGAGUGGUUCAUCUGGUGAAAGGGUGAGCUGUACUUGGUAAGAAGUAAAUGUAAGUAUGCCUCAAGAGUGCACCUCAGGAGGAGACUGAUGCAUCCCUCACUACGAUGAGAGAUGGAAGCCAAAAAUAUUACAGAUGUUCCUAUAUGACAGAGCAGAUAAUCAGUGGAACUCAGGAAGAACUUGUUGAAGUAUGAUGUUAAACUGCUCAGAAAUCAGUCUGUUAGGACUGGCUGAGAGAAACUGCUGAGAUACAGAUUUUUAAAGAGAGAGAAAAAGUAGGGAAAAACGGAGGCUGAGGUUUAAGUAAGGAGAAGGGAGUAGAUAUAGGCUGUGGUGCAGAGCAUGCAGUUUCGCAAAAUGUUGAACAAACAAGGGCACUAAAGAGGGCCAGAAUGAGGAGCACAGAGCCAUCAGAACUGGACGUUCAGUGAGGAACUGUAUGGUAAGCCAGACAUCAACCAGCUGAGCAAAGAAGUGAGAAUACUGCUAAAUAAGAGCUGGAGUAUGAUGUGUUGCUGCCUAAAAGUUUUGUUGCAAAAAGAUUUUUAGUAAUCAGUGUAGUCAACAGAAUGAGAAGUUAGAGAGUGAUUAAAUGCAGUUGGACUUAAAAUGGGCCAAAGCAGGAAUCCUGAAUAGAUUUCAGUACAGAAUGUAGGAAAUAAGGAAGAUGGAUGAAGGUGGAAUUGUCGGGGCUGAAUAUUAGAAGUAUACAUAUCCAGCAAAGAUGAUUAGAUUCAUUGGAAUGAUAUAGCUGGAAGAAGAAGGAAUGUUGGAGGAAACAAAGGGAGUUUUCAGCAAAAGAAGGAGGCAGAAAAGGAAUAGAAGAGCAAUGUUCAAGUUACUUGCAGAUGGAAAGACAUUAUUUGAAUAGUCAUCGUGAUGAAAGAAAUGGCUAUUACUCCAUACUAAGGCCAGAAGUUAUGACAGAAUAAGAAAAAAAUAAGAGAGGAUGGCAAGUAAGUAAAGGGGCACUGUAUGAAUUAUAUAGGAGUUCUGAGUAGUUAGAAUGGCAACAACAUAGAUCACGUGUGAAUGAAAGAAACAGGUGUGAAUGAAAGAAACAGAACCAUCAGGUCCCUCAACUGUGUUUAGAAUGAAAGAGGAUCUGAGGCCUAAAGAAGAACAGGACUUGGGUAGGCUGGCUCUUUAAGUGUUCGUGGGAAAUUUAUGACUGAAGUGACUGCUUGUGAAGAAAGGUUAGAAAGACAUGGAUUAAGAUAAAACUUGACGAGGCGGCAUUGGUGGAAACUUAAAGAUAUCACCAUUGACUGACCUUUGAGGUGUGGAUUGGAUACUUUUUUCUGGUGGAACAACUGAGUGCUGUUGACUAAGGAGUGGUCAGAGAUCACGGAGAAGCAAACCUCAUAGUACUAAACUCAUUGAUACAUUACAGAAUCUGCAGGGGAAAGAUAAGGAGAAUGUUUAAGAUGUGGUAGGGCAGAUAUUCAAAAGGAGUUAUGGAAGACUUGCCUGUAAGUAUGAGGUUAGUUUGCCGAGAAGUUAAGGUGUCACAUGAGAGCUGGUUGACAGUGAAAGAAGCAACUGCAAACGCUUGUAUUAAAGAAAGAGGAAAGUGGAAGGGAGAGAAGAUGCUGGUUAGAGAGGGAUGCAUGAAGCAGGCUGGGUAUGUAGCAUGCAAGGUGCAAAAUGGCAAAUAUUCCUGGGACCAGAAUGAAGAAUGUGGGUAUCUCCAGCUGUUUACUACAUUAUCAGAAUACUUGUUAACAUGAGAAGUUUUUAACCUGCAUAUCAUCAUGUGCUCCAGCAACCUGGUACAGUCAGUUAGCACUCUCAAGCUAGCAAAAACUGAGUUUGUACUGUCUGUUUGGGAUAGUAUAUGUUUGCUGCAGAUAUAGUUCCUCCAUCUAUAAGCUCACUUCCUAUGCUCAAGGGUUUUAAAUGUGUUGUGCAUUAUUCCUGUCAUCUUCCCUACAAUAUGUGUGGAUCAACUCCAGCAAUUCACCAGUUGGUAAGUAAAUGUUUCCCAAAAGUUUCUUACACAUUGCAUUUAAAAAAUGUAUCUGCAUUUGGUAUUUCUCUUGAGAACCUCUCAUUAUCCAUGCAGUGUAAAAUGGAGAAUGCAAUUACAGUCUUAUAGUAUGGGAUCAUUUUGCACUACAUACAAACAUGUACACUAGUGAAUGAAUUUUAUGCUAAAUAAUUAUGUAGUUGUUCUUUAAAGUGGUUUAUAAGAAAUACUUAGAAUUUUUUUAUAAUAGCAUUUGUGUGAUGGUUGAGAAGAUAUGUUGGAUUUUAUUUUUUUAAUGAAGAUGGUUACAGGCCUUUUGAAUUUAAGAUAUUGCAAUGUAAGCAUUUACUAAGAAAAACUGUUAUUCAGCAUAUUUUAAAGAAAAGAUAAUGAAAAUUCCUUGUCCUUAUAAGGCAGAUGAGUCAGGAAGAGAACUGGGUGGUGAGGCAUUUAUUAAAAAAGAAAGGGGGGGGAGAGAAAGUGAUAACUGAAAAUGAGACAUAAGGACAGGAUCUGGGAGAGCAUGUCUGCAUAAGAAAGUGUAGUUGGCAGAAAGGUCAGAGACAAACUCAGUGAAGUGGACCUAAAACAAGACAAAUUGCAGGGCUCCAACCAAGGAAUAAAUAGAAAACCAAAGCAAUUCAGCAAAAUAUGUAAGAAAGGAGAAACAUGGAACUGGAUUGAGCAAUGACUGUAGAAGAAAAAGAACCAAAGAGGGAGGUAUUAGUGAGUGUGUGAGAAUGGUACGUACUCAGUAUAUAAACGGUUAAUAAAAGGUAGAACAGGGAGAGAAGAGGCAGAAGAAAAUGGGUGGAAAAGCAAAAUUUAACCUCAGAUGGGAAAGAUCAUGUGAGCAAUGACAUGCUGAAAAACAAGGUUUGGCACUAUAAUUGUAUCUAACGGAACAAGGAAGAAUAUAGGUGAUAGAAACCAAGGAAAAAGAGCACGGUAUAAAAACAUUUCUGAGCAACAAGAUUAAACAUAGGGUAAAACAGUUUCACAAGGAGAUACUUGCUGAGGGCAGAAAUGGACACAGGAUUAAAGACAGGUCGAAAGUAUUAAAUAAGUGAAGGCAGAUGGAAACAAGUCAGAAAGCAACUGUAUGCAUUAGAGUGGAAUAUUACAAAAAGGCAAAGUGGAAAAAGAAGACAUAAAUAAAGAGGGAUUCAGCUGACAUGGGGGAAAGGGAGCCAUGGAAUGAAUUAAAAACUGCACAUCCACAUCUAGAAAGGAUUUAUAACUUUGUAAGAUGGAACUGGGCCAAUUAUGAAAUGGGGGUGGGUUGAGGUAUGCAGGGUUUAAAUAUGGCGGAGAAGAGAAAGGGGAACAAAACAGAUAUGCAAAAGUAGAGUUACACCUAGAAAUAAAGGAGUCCAUGAGAAGAAACAAGAAUGAGACCAAAAUGUCUUUAUUCAGUAAUAAUGGAAAUAGAGGAAGACCAAAGGAAAGGAAAACUGCAUGGAUUACAUAGAGACAAUGACUAGAGUCUAGUAAAACCCAAUGCAUGAUGAGGGUAAUAGCAAAGACAGGGCAAAAUAAGGUAGCAGAACAGAGAAUCCUGCCAAGCUUGCUACAGUGUAUAAACUUAAAACAUAAGAAGUAUUAAUGAAAGAAGAAAACAUUAAAUGAGCAUGUGAGUGAAAUCAGGUUAAGAAGAGGGGUUAAACCCACAUAUACCUUUUAAUAGCUGAGUUCAGGAAGAUUCAAGUUUUCAACGAGAUCUACAAGGGAGAGAAGAGUCUGGCAAUGAGAGUGUGGUAGAGGAACAAAGGAUGAGAGGAAAGGUUAGAGCGUUGCCUGCAAAAUAUUAAAUACAGAAAAGAAUGAGAGCGGCAAUGAGUAGAUUUCCAAGGUCUAUAACACAGGGAACAUGAAACAGUUUGAAAAUAAGUAAUACUGGAAUGAAUGAAGGAUGGUUUAGGAAGGUUAUGAAGAAAGAAUUAAAAUCACAUUCAACAAUUAUUCCUGACCAAGAAAGAGGACAGACCUAAGAAAAUGAAAAGUUUAACUAGGAAAAACAGGCUAGAGUUUGGGUCAUGUAAGAUGUAAGGGAACGAGGUGGUUCCAGGAGGACAGUGCCGGGCCAGUGUCAGGGGAGCAGUGCUGGGAUCUUUGAGGAGCUGGCAAGCGGAGAGUGCAGCCCAGGGAGGCAGGCUGGCCUUCCACAGCAGUGAUUCUUCCCCGGGGUGGGGGGGGUGGUUUUCACCCGCGGGGGGGCUGGGGCAUGGACCCCAAGGGAGGCCUAUCAGAACAUCAGAGGGUGAGCAGUGCUCUGCUCCAAACAAAAACAAACCCAAAAACAUCCAAAAACAAAACACAAAAACAUUCCUCAGAGAUGCUGCUGAUAGGCCAGCCUUGGGGGUCAUGCAUCCUCGGGUGAGAAUCACUGGGGGGAAGGGCAGGUGGAGAGCUGGGCAGAGAGGUGAAGGGUGAGCAGAUGAGGCCCUGGGUGUGGCAGAGGGAGGCAUCAGAGUCCAGACUGUCAGACAAGGAGGAAAGGACCCAGGACCAGGCAGACAGCCAGCCAAGGGAUGUAGCCCACAAGGCACCUGGGACAGUGGGGGCUGGGGGUGGGAUUGGGGAGGUGGUUACUAUCAAUUGGUUGGGAGUGGAUUGCAAGCAUGGUGUCCCCGAGCUUAAGAGUUCCGAGUAGGGCUAAAGGAGAUGGAAGUGGUGACUGAAAGGAAGGCGCGUUGUGUGUAUUUGCACAUAGAGCACCAGAAGGGACCUCUGCACAAUGGAAGGGGCAGAGGGGAUGGGAGAGGUCAGAACAUCUGGGAGAGGUGACUGCUAGGAGGGAGGAGGAGGAGGAGGGCCAACAGAAGGCCCAGGGCUCUGCGCAGGUCUAGACAGAGGAUGGAGGUGUCCGGGGCUGGGGGUGACUGGCAGGUGUGGAGGCAAGAGGGUGAGAAGAAGGUGAGAGCGCUGUGGCGAAAGGAAGGGGUAGGAGAAUCAGAGGCUGAGGAUCCCUGAGAGCUGUGUCAGAGUGUGAGACGAAGGUCUGGAUGGAAACAUGAAGGGUUACAGGGGCUGUGGGGCCUGGGAGGUGAGCUCAGCUGGGCUCUGAAGCAUGUGCUGGAGGGUGGAGCCUGUGGGUUCAGCAGAGUGUGACUGAGGCAGAGACGACUGUACUCGGUUGAGCAGCAGAUGGGGGACUGAGAAGGGAGCACACAGCAGAGGAGACAACUGAGGCCAGCUGGAGGGGUCACAGAGUAGCUGAAGGGUUCCUGUGUGUGCUCUGGAGAAGCAAACCCGGAGAGACCUAGAAACUGGGCUGAGGAUGUGGGAGGUCAGGUGAGCUGCCUCAGACAACUGAGCGAGUGCGGUGCAGGAGAGGGGGUCCGACAGGCCAGAGAGGGAGGAACCGCAGGAGACGGCGCCCAGCAGCCAGGACAGGAGAGGCUUGUUGAGAGGAUCAGGGAACACACUGUGCCCAGAGGGAACAGGAAGGGAGAGGGGUGUCAGGGAGCUAGCAGAGAGUGGGUGUGGAGAACCUGCCCCCAAAGUGGGCCCAGGGCAUGAGGAAGCCCCUGCAGGAGGAAGAGCACAGCGCAGGCCAGGUGAGUGAGGAACUGGGAGAGGUGGGAUGCGGCCAGCGCAGGAUGAGCAGCUAGAGGCAGUGGCGCAGUGGAGAUGCUGGAGAUGGGCAAAGUGAGAAGAAAGGGCACAGAGAAGCAAUGACCUUCCUCAGUGUAGUGGGCACAGAAAGGCAUGGGGCUUAGGGGGGAAUCCACACAGUAGAUGGAUUUAGUACAGUGUACUGGUGACAAAAAAUUGGCCAUCCUGGGAGCAUUAGGGUUGGUCAAGGGGAAGAGCACUCCAUGCUUCUCAUGACUGAGUGGUAAGGAGUUGCUCAGAGGAUGGAAGGGAAGAGAAACGGGGAGGGACAUCACAAGGGAAGGGGGAGGGAGAGAGCCUUAGGGAUACGUGAGAGGCAGAGCAGGGAAAGGGGAAGGCAGCCUAUAGAGCGCUCAAUCUGGAGACUUCAGCAGAUCUCAGGGUUCAAGCGGCAGGACGUAGGUGCAGCACAGAGAUGAGACCUAACCGUCCAGACAUUUGGAAACUCAGGUUCUCAGGAGCAAAUGGGGUCCUGGAGCUGCAGUGACUGGGCAUCACUGCACAUUAAGAAGGAUCCUGUAGAGAAACCAUCAGUGCGUAACGUCAGAGACUUCGGAUGGACUUACAUGGCUGGAGUCAGAGUGUGGUAGCGAAGCUGGCAGGGGAGUGAGGGAGAGGCAGGGCUGUGCUGGCAUUUCCAGCCAUCACCAGUUCUGAGCUUUUGCUCUUCGGGGGGGUGGGCACUGGAAAGCGGGGUGCAGGUGCAGCUUGCGGUGGAGAAACCACACGCAUGGAAGGAGGGGGACCUUCAAAAGCAGUGGGGUGUCAGAGGUCCAGUCUGAGAAGAUCAUGUGGGCAGCAAAGGGGCAGAGGGAGUGGGCAGUGGGUGGGAUACGGAGGGGCUUGGGGGUGAAGGACUCUUGCUUGAGAGACAACCCAGGAAACAACAGAGCGGGCAAUGCAGAAUGGGAUGGAAAGAGGAGGAUCUUAAAGUCUGCACAGGAGGGGAUCAUGGCCCAGAGGGAAACAGGGCAAGGAAUAGAUCCAGACCAUGUCACCGGGGAGUGGGGGGGCAAGGCGUGGAUCCCAGGGACGAUGGGAGAGAGAGAGAAGUAGUGGAGAGGGAAGGAGGAGGGGGGAGUGGGGGCCUGGUGGAAAGAAUUGUGGUCAGCGGUUGAUUAAAAAGGAACAGAAGAUUUAAGGAAGGUGAGAUGAGGCGGGUAUAAGGAUUAGGAAGCCUAAAAAGACUAGACCCAGUGGAAGGACCUGACAAGAGAGAGCAGGUGGUCUCGGAGCGAACAUAGCAGGGUAGGGG